rnacentral:rRNA from 1 species
ACAGAGGGUGCGAGCGUUAAUCGGAAUUACUGGGCGUAAAGCGCGCGUAGGCGGCUUUGCAAGUCGGGUGUGAAAUCCCCAGGCUUAACCUGGGAACUGCAUUCGAGACUGCAUUGCUAGAGUAUGGGAGAGGGAAGUGGAAUUUCAGGUAUAGCGGUGAAAUGCGUAGAUAUCUGAAGGAACAUCAGUGGCGAAGGCGGCUCACUGGUCCGGUACUGACGCUGAGGUGCGAAAGCGUGGGGAGCAAACAGGA